rnacentral:rRNA from 1 species
ACUAAUUCUAGCCCAUAACCUUAUAAAUAUAACAACACAAUUCUAAUUUAAACAAAACAUUUACUUAGUUAAAGUAUAGGAGAUAGAAAUUACAAUAAGCGAGCAAUAGAAACAGUACCGUAAGGGAAAGAUGAAAGAAUAAUAAAUAGUAAAGAAAAGCAAAGACUAACUCUUCUACCUUUUGCAUAAUGAAUUAACUAGAAAACUCUUAACAAAAAGAAUUUUAGCUAAGAACCCCGAAACCAAGCGAGCUACUUAUGAGCAAUUAUUAGAAUCAACCCAUCCAUGUAGCAAAAUGGUGGGAAGACUUAUAAGUAGAAGUGAAAGACCUAACGAGCAUGGUGAUAGCUGGUUGUCCAGACUAGAAUUUCAGUUCAACUUUAAGUUUACCCAAAGCAAUCUUAAUCCCAAUGUAAACUUAACUGUUACUCUAAAGAGGUACAGCUCUUUAGAAAAAGGAAAUAACCUUAUUUAGAGAGUAAAAUCUUAAUAUUUCAUAGUUGGCUUAAAAGCAGCCAUCAAUUAAAAAAGCGUUCAAGCUUAAUUUCACUUACAUAAUACUUAAUUCUAAUCGUAAAAAUGAUCUCCUAACUCAUACACUGGAACCAAUCCCAUAUAUUAUGGAAGUACUAAUGUUCAAUAUUAGUAACAAGAAAUAUUAUUCUCCCUGCAUAAGUUUAUAUCAGAUCGAAUACUUCACUGAUAGUUAACAUCUCUAUAAUAAUAAACAACAAUUGAAACUCUAUUAUAUAUCAAUGUUAACCCAACACCGGAAUGCACAAGGGAAAGAUUAAAAUGAGUAAAAGGAACUCGGCAAACAUUAACCCCGCCUGUUUACCAAAAACAUCACCUCUAGCAUAACUAGUAUUAGAGGCACUGCCUGCCCAGUGACACAUGUUAAACGGCCGCGGUAUCCUGACCGUGCAAAGGUAGCAUAAUCAUUUGUUCCUUAAAUAGGGACUUGUAUGAAUGGCCUAACGAGGGUUUAACUGUCUCUUACUCCUAAUCAGUGAUAUUGACCUCUCCGUGAAGAGGCGGAGAUACCUAAAUAAGACGAGAAGACCCUAUGGAGCUUUAAAUCUAUUAACCUAAGUACUCUAAUAGCAUUUUCCUUAGGGAUAUUACAUAAAACUAACAGGUUAUAAAUUUUGGUUGGGGUGACCUCGGAGUAUAAACCAACCUCCGAAUGAUAUUAAUCAAGACUUUACUAGUCUAAAUUAUAAUUCACUAAUUGACCCAAAUUAUUGAUCAACGGAACAAGUUACCCUAGGGAUAACAGCGCAAUCCUACUCAAGAGUCCAUAUCGACAGUAGGGUUUACGACCUCGAUGUUGGAUCAGGACAUCCAAAUGGUGUAACCGCUAUUAAUGGUUCGUUUGUUCAACGAUUAAAGUCCUACGUGAUCUGAGUUCAGACCGGAGCAAUCCAGGUCGGUUUCUAUCUAUUAUUAUACUCUUCCCAGUACGAAAGGACAAGAAGAGUGAGGCCUAUCUAAAAGACAUGCCUUUAAGCCUAAAAGAUGAAGUAAUCUAAAUCUUAUAGGCUAUUUACUUUAAUAA